UCUUUGCUACAAGUACGUAAAAGAAAGAAAAAAAUGGCUACAAUUCAAAAAUUUGUUUAUGUUAUGAUCCUAAUUGUUUUCCAACUUCUUGUUGUAACCGAAGGCUUAUUACCUCACCAAUGUGACGUGGACGAAGAGUGUCCAAAGAUUUGUAACCCACCUAACGGGUAUUUGUUACUGUCAUAAAUACAGAGAAGGUUUACCUUAAGAGCUUGAGAAAGAUGACACCUCAACAUUAAGUAACAUUCAAGGAUUGCCAGAACGAGGGAGCAAACAAUUUUGACACACAUGACACCACAUCUCGAAUGGAUAUUCUUUUCAUCAAGAAAUAUAUCCUUGAUGAGAUCACUUAUGAGAAUGGGCAGGGCAUAAUAUAGAGUUGAUCCUUCAAUAGAGUGUUUCAAAAUCUUUGUUUCAGGUUUGGAAGUUAUAUUUCUUUGGCAAUAAAUUUUUGAGAGGUUUCUUCCCUUGGGAAUUGGAUUUGGAUUCAACAAGUAAUGUUAAAAAUGGGUGUGGCUUUUGAUCUUGGAUCAUAAUUACAGAUUUUGGUGUUUACAUGAUUGACUUUGAUAACUGCAAGACAUUUUUUUAGAUAAGAAAAUUUGAAAAUUAAAGAUCA